rnacentral:rRNA from 1 species
CUACGGGUGGCUGCAGUGGGGAAUAUUGGACAAUGGGGGAAACCCUGAUCCAGCAAUGCCGCGUGUGUGAAGAAGGCCUGCGGGUUGUAAAGCACUUUCGGUUGGGAGGACUGCUUCUAGCACUCAUAUUGUUGGAAGUUGACGUUACCUUCAGAAGAAGCACCGGCUAACGCCGUGCCAGCAGCCGCGGGUAAUACGGAGGGUGCAAGCGUUAAUCGGAAUUACUGGGCGUAAAGCGCGCGUAGGCGGCUAGAUCAGUCGGGUGUGAAAGCCCCGGGCUUAACCUGGGAACUGCAUCCGAUACUGUCUAGCUUGAGUACAGGAGAGGAGAGUGGAAUUCCACAUGUAGCGGUGAAAUGCGUAGAUAUGUGGAGGAACACCAAUGGCGAAGGCAGCUCUCUGGCCUGAUACUGACGCUGAGGUGCGAAAGCGUGGGGAGCAAACAGGAUUAGAUACCCCAGUAGUC